GGGCCGGUAGAUCAGUGGUAGAUCGCUACCUUGGCAUGGUAGAGGCCUCGGGUUCGAAUCCCGACCGGUCCA
rnacentral:tRNA from 1 species